CAGUAGCCGCGGUAAAACGAAGGGUGCAAGCGUUACUCGGAAUUACUGGGCGUAAAGCGUGCGUAGGUGGUGGUUUAAGUCCGUUGUGAAAGCCCUGGGCUCAACCUGGGAAUUGCAGUGGAUACUGGGUCACUAGAGUGUGGUAGAGGAUAGUGGAAUUUCCGGUGUAGCGGUGAAAUGCGUAGAGAUCGGAAGGAACAUCUGUGGCGAAGGCGACUAUCUGGGCCAACACUGACACUGAGGCACGAAAGCGUGGGGAGCAAACCGGAUUAGAUACCCCUGUAGUCCCUGUCUCUUAUAC
rnacentral:rRNA from 1 species